UCUUUUCACACAUUCAGCCGAAAAAAGCUAGGGUUUAAAAUUCACACUUUCUGCUUUCAAUCUUCCUCUCUUUUCUGUUUCUUCAACUCCGGAAAGCUAGGGUCUUCUCAUGGUUGCUGUGAAUUUCACAACUAUUGGGCACUAGAAAGCUAACGAUUCCAGCCAUUUUCGCCGACAGGGAUUAUAUUUCUGUGUGUGGCUUUGAUUCUCUCCUCUCUGAGAGGAGCGCGCGAAGUACCUUUCCUGAUCUGAUCAACUUUAGAGUGGUGGGAUUGAACGGCUUCGGACGCCUUUUUGGAAAUGUAGCUCCUGUAUCCUUUGAGCGGGGCAUUGCUAAACCUGAAACCAAGAUUUUCCUAUUCUUUGAAACUCUUUCUGCUGUUUUAUUUGUAGUAUAUCUGAUUGGAUACAGAGAAAUUUUGUGAAAAGAGAUGUGAGAUACAUGUAUGCUACUAUGAUUAGUGAUUCCUCUU